UCCGAUUUGUUUUGAAUCUGACUUCAAACGUAAAACAUCGUACAGAUUACGUUAAACAAAAUCAAAUCUAAUAAAUGAAGGCGGUGAUUAUUUUUUCUUUAUCAUAACACAUGAAUAUAAUAGGAAGGACGUCAACACAUUUGACAAAAUCCGAUAAGAAUUACAAAUAUAACAUUAAACAUUUAAACAUUUAAACUAAAUACAUGAAUUUGGGAUAGAUAAGUACCGUAACACGUCUUAUGGUAAUGCGAAUUCACACUCAGCAAAACAGUCACAAUCGGGAACAAGUCAAGAUCAACCUAGAAUUAAAAGAUUAGAAAUAAGCAAGUAUGAAUCACUGUCAA
rnacentral:lncRNA from 1 species